rnacentral:tRNA from 2 species
AGGCGAGUAGCUCAACUGGCAGAGCAACGGUCUCCAAAACCGUAGGUUGCGGGUUCGAUUCCUGCCUCGCCUG